rnacentral:rRNA from 1 species
UACAGAGGUCUCAAGCGUUGUUCGGAUUCAUUGGGCGUAAAGGGUGCGUAGGCGGCGCGGUAAGUCGGGUGUGAAAUCUCGGGGCUUAACUCCGAAACUGCAUUUGAUACUGCCGUGCUUGAGGACUGGAGAGGAGACUGGAAUUUACGGUGUAGCGGUGAAAUGCGUAGAUAUCGUAAGGAAGACCAGUGGCGAAGGCGGGUCCCUGGACAGUUCCUGACGCUGAGGCACGAAGGCCAGGGGAGCAGACGGG